AGAGUUUGAUCCUGGCUCAGAUCGAACGCUGGCGGCAGGCUUAACACAUGCAAGUCGAACGGUAACAGGGAGAAGCUUGCUUCUUUGCUGACGAGUGGCGGACGGGUGAGUAAUGCUUGGGAAUCUGGCUUAUGGAGGGGGAUAACUACGGGAAACUGUAGCUAAUACCGCGUAAUAUCUUCGGAUUAAAGGGUGGGACUUUCGGGCCACCUGCCAUAAGAUGAGCCCAAGUGGGAUUAGGUAGUUGGUGGGGUAAAGGCCUACCAAGCCGACGAUCUCUAGCUGGUCUGAGAGGAUGACCAGCCACACUGGAACUGAGACACGGUCCAGACUCCUACGGGAGGCAGCAGUGGGGAAUAUUGCACAAUGGGGGGAACCCUGAUGCAGCCAUGCCGCGUGAAUGAAGAAGGCCUUCGGGUUGUAAAGUUCUUUCGGUGAUGAGGAAGGUGUUUGUUUUAAUAGAACAAGCAAUUGACGUUAGUCACAGAAGAAGCACCGGCUAACUCCGUGCCAGCAGCCGCGGUAAUACGGAGGGUGCGAGCGUUAAUCGGAAUGACUGGGCGUAAAGGGCACGCAGGCGGUGACUUAAGUGAGAUGUGAAAGCCCCGAGCUUAACUUGGGAAUUGCAUUUCAUACUGGGUCGCUAGAGUAUUUUAGGGAGGGGUAGAAUUCCACGUGUAGCGGUGAAAUGCGUAGAGAUGUGGAGGAAUACCGAAGGCGAAGGCAGCCCCUUGGGAAUAUACUGACGCUCAUGUGCGAAAGCGUGGGGAGCAAACAGGAUUAGAUACCCUGGUAGUCCACGCUGUAAACGCUGUUGAUUUGGGGAUUGGGCUUUAAGCUUGGUGCCCGUAGCU
rnacentral:rRNA from 1 species